rnacentral:pre_miRNA from 1 species
AACAUACUCCCUCCGUCCGGAAAUACUUGUCAUUAAAAUGAACAAAAGUGGAUGUAUCUAGACGUAUUUUAGUUUUAGAUACAUCCCUUUUUAUCCAUUUUGAUGACAAGUAUUUUCGGACGGAGGGAGUAGUUU